UGGGGCCAGAGGGCUCUGUGGAACUCCGGUGUCCUCCUGAACCUUCUCCCAGUGCAGCAUGGCCAGGAUGACUCUGCUAACAGGUGGAUUUCCGAGGUGGAGAGCAGGUCCCUCACUCCCACGGCUUGGAGGUGAAAUGGACCGGUGCAGCAGCCAGACUGAGAAGGGCAGAGGAGUUCCUGCUGGAGCGGGGAUAGGACUUCCAUUCUAGGGAGAGGGCCUCCCUCUUCCCACCCAGGUCAGGGGUACAGAG
rnacentral:lncRNA from 1 species